UGGCACCGUGUCACACUGUUUCCUGGGA
rnacentral:piRNA from 1 species